rnacentral:rRNA from 1 species
GUCGAGCGAACAGAUAAGGAGCUUGCUCCUUUGACGUUAGCGGCGGACGGGUGAGUAACACGUGGAUAACCUACCUAUAAGACUGGGAUAACUUCGGGAAACCGGAGCUAAUACCGGAUAAGAUUUUGAACCGCAUGGUUCAAUAGUGAAAGACGGCCUUGCUGUCACUUAUAGAUGGAUCCGCGCCGUAUUAGCUAGUUGGUAAGGUAACGGCUUACCAAGGCAACGAUACGUAGCCGACCUGAGAGGGUGAUCGGCCACACUGGAACUGAGACACGGUCCAGACUCCUACGGGAGGCAGCAGUAGGGAAUCUUCCGCAAUGGGCGAAAGCCUGACGGAGCAACGCCGCGUGAGUGAUGAAGGUCUUCGGAUCGUAAAACUCUGUUAUCAGGGAAGAACAAACGUGUAAGUAACUGUGCACGUCUUGACGGUACCUGAUCAGAAAGCCACGGCUAACUACGUGCCAGCAGCCGCGGUAAUACGUAGGUGGCAAGCGUUAUCCGGAAUUAUUGGGCGUAAAGCGCGCGUAGGCGGUUUUUUAAGUCUGAUGUGAAAGCCCACGGCUCAACCGUGGAGGGUCAUUGGAAACUGGAAAACUUGAGUGCAGAAGAGGAAAGUGGAAUUCCAUGUGUAGCGGUGAAAUGCGCAGAGAUAUGGAGGAACACCAGUGGCGAAGGCGACUUUCUGGUCUGUAACUGACGCUGAUGUGCGAAAGCGUGGGGAUCAAACAGGAUUAGAUACCCUGGUAGUCCACGCCGUAAACGAUGAGUGCUAAGUGUUAGGGGGUUUCCGCCCUUAGUGCUGCAGCUAACGCAUUAAGCACUCCGCCUGGGGAGUACGACCGCAAGGUUGAAACUCAAAGGAAUUGACGGGGACCCGCACAAGCGGUGGACAUGUGGUUUAAUUCGAAGCAACGCGAAGAA